GUGCGUGAUGUUCAACAACCGCAAUCACUCCGAUACCUCUGAUAGUAUUGUUUGAUUGACACCAUUGCGUACUGAUGC